GGCCACUCGGUGGAGAGCAGCCCUGCCCUCGUAUGUGGGACAGCAGUGCAGCAGGUCCUAUUUUAGGCAGAUUUUCCACAUUAGAAAGCAAAUUGGUGAAGAUGACUGUACAGCACACCUCUACUCCUGACAGUCUGUUUAACUCCAAGUCAAACACCAAGGCCGAGAUUGAGCACGUCGAGGUCACAGCCGGCCUUCCCCAGGCCUGGGCCCCGCCCCUCACUCCCACACAGCGGGGCAGGGACUCGCUGACCUAAUGUUACUGGACAGAUAAUUCCUCCCCUCGGGGGAAGGCUGGCAAAGCCCAUGGCACCUGCCAUUUCCAAUCUGUGUUUUGAAAUGGCAAACAGGGGCCUGUGCCAGGAAGCUGGGGGGCAGUGUGGACGCAAUCCACACCCGGAGUGAAACUCCCCAAUUCACCCACAGCCUCGCGGAGGCCCCGUUUUACACCAGCAAACCCGGCGCGGCUUCCACCCGAACCAUCUCAAAGCCUCUGCUGCGGAAAAUAAUUGAAUUAAAGAGUUGCCAUAAUUCGUUCAAGUGAGAUAGCAGCCAGCCAGCGGGGAGCAGAGACAGUGCUGCUCGGAUCUGCCAUCUUCUCGAUCAUAAAAGCCAACACAAGGCUCAGUCUGAAACUGACAAGUGCAUGCGGCAGGAGAAGGCCCUAUUAAAUGGAGACAACAGCAGAAGAAAAUGGUAUUUAUAAUGAUUAGCCACCUAAUUAAUUCUAAGAGCAAAAUGUCAAAAGCUAUAAAUCCAUUCCUUUGGUAAGGGAAGCUCGACAUCGAACAAGGCGCUUCUGCGCUGAGAACGGAGGCCCGGCGUCUCCCCACCUUUGCGCCCAGCAACGUGGCUCCUCUCCCGGAGGCUGGAACUCGGGGCAAUGUGUCGCCUCCACACCCCCGCACAGCCCGAAAUAGUGGCAAUAAAUUCUAAAAUUAAGGAAGUUUAAA